UGAGGUUAAUUGUUCCUUAAAUCUGAGAGGAAUCGUUCUUAAAUCUGAGGGGAAUAAUUCCUUAAAUUUACGGGGAAUUGUUCCUUGAAUCUGAGGGGAAUAAUUCCUUAAAUCUGAGGGGAAUUGUUCUUUAAAUCAGAGGGGAAUAAUUCCUUAAAUUUGAGGGGAAUCUUUCUUCAACUCUGAAGAGAAUCAUUCCUUAAAUUUGAGGGGGAUCUUUCCUUAAAUCUGAGGGAAAUUGUUCUUUAAAUUUGAGGGGAAUUGUUCCUUAAAUCUGAGUGGAAUCAUUCCUUAAAUCUGAGGGAAAUAAUUCCUUAAAUCAGAGGGAAACCCUGGCAGGCUCUACAGUUAAAACAAGAGUGAAGGAAUGGUCAUGGCAGGGUUUCUGUUCCAUUUUGCUGGUUUGUUUUACAUGGUGCUGUUUUCAUGCCCACAUUUUAAAAAAGGGAUUGGUAAUAAAGUUGAAAAAAUGGAAUGCUGAAGUUUCAAAUCAUUGCAGCUUUUUGAAGAGGAGGAUUAGCUUAUGAUCCAUGUAGCAGAAUACAGUAUGCUAUAAUAAAUACGAUAUCUUGUUAUAAGUAAUAUUAAAUGCAACAUAUUAUGUGUACAUUAUUGCUGUUGGUUUGCUAAUUCUAUGGUUGUCAAUUUUGCUCUUGGAAUGUAACUUUUAUUUCGGAAAAGGAAAUGCUGCCUAAACUUAAACUGCCCAGAAGCACUCAGGGAUUAAAAUUUGUACUUCAUUGAGAAAGAUAUCCUUGUGUUUAUCAAAUAGCCAACUUUUGCUUUUUUACAUGAGCUCAGAUAAGAAUAUAGUCUUAAAUAAAGUCAUGUGCCUCUAAAAAUAAUUUUAAAACCUCAAACCCAGUCAUAAAUCAAUCUAGGGCAGUGUAUGGACUUAAAAAGGGGAGGGUAUGGCAUAGAAAAACUUGGUAUGUUAUUAAUCACAGAAUCAUGGAAUGUUAGGGUUGGAAAGGGACCUUAAAGCUCAUCCAGUGCCACCCCUGCCAUGGCAGGGACACCUCCCACUGUCCCAGGCUGCUCCAGCCCCAGUGUCCAACCUGGCCCUGGGCACUGCCAGGGAUCCAGGGGCAGCUUUAAGGUCCCUUCCAACCCAAAUAAUUCUGGGCUUCUAUGAAAGAGCCAAAGGCUGAAGAACUACAACCAAAUGCCAUUGCAUAAAGUCAGAAUGAUUCCCUGAGCAUGAAUAGAUUUAUUAGAAACUCAAAGUUAGAUCACAGUUUUCCAUUUUGCACAUCUCCAUCUCUUUCCUUUUGUAAAGGAAAAAAAAAAAAAGAAAAAGGAAGAAAAAGAGUUUGAUUUCCUGUGGAAGCACAGCAGGAGCUGGAAAACAAAGCAUGGCUGCUUGGGGAAGUUCACACAGCACCUGUUCUGAUGUGCUUUAGAAUAAAUACACUGAUUUUUGUUUAUUCUUAUGCUGCCAGUCAGGAGAGAGUGAUUUAAUUUCAGAAUUAAUUUCAAGUGCUUGUUUCCAGAGCCAAAAGCUUUGAAAGCUUGUGUAACUUCUAACUUAAGCAAUAAACUUAAAAAAUCCCACAGAAUCUGAAUUCUUGCCUUUAAUCCCACUGGCCUGAUUUAUUUUCACUUAUAGUGCUAGUUAAAAUAUUUUAAGAAUCUGUUUGUAUUCAAACGAGGGCUUGCAUUUAUCACACCUCAUAUCAUUUAGCCUGAAAUGUCACGGCCUGGAGAAUGGUGUGUAAAAAAAAGUGAGGUUCCCCCAGUGCAGCUUUGUGAUGCCCAGGAUUGCUAUAAAAUCCUGUACCUCAUGUUGCUCUCCAGAAAUUUACUGGCAUUGUUCUUUUUGCUGAACUGUUAAACGUAGAUGAACGUCCAGAGGUUUUUUUUGUAAACUUGAACUGACACUAUUUUUACACUUUUUUUUACUGAUGAUAUUAUCUUACAUCAAAAAAAGAAAAACCCGUAAGUGUUUUACAGGAUUAUUUGCAAACACAAAGCUCUCGUGGCUUGUUGCAUUAAGGAGUUGUGGGAUGCAGCUAUAAAGUGUCCUAUGACAUUUUAAAUUGGAUUUAUAUCCAAAUGGAUCAUCAGGCUGCCCAUCACUGAGGAAGAUGAAGAGGGAAGACUGGACAAGGAGGAAAAGGAUGGAGAUGGAGCUGAGACACAGGAAGAAGGAAAUAAAAAUUCAAGGGAAACAAAUUUUUACUGAUUAUUCUUAAGCAAAUACUCCAAGCUUAAUGUAAAAUAAAUGGGAUGUAGGGAGAUUCCAGCAUUAAUAGGGGAACAAUCAUUGUUAAAACAUUUAUCAAACAAUAAUGAUCACAAGCCCAAGACUCCCCUGUUCCAUUGGCAGAUUGUCAAUUGAAAUAUAAUUAUCUCAGUGUUAAAGUUGGAUUUUUCUGAAGUUAAAGACUGGUAAGAAUUCCAGUUAGGCACAUGGUGGUUCCAGUCCUAGUUUUGGGAACUGGGGAGUGUGAGAGAAGGGGAGCACCUUUAUUUUGUUGACACUAAAUAAUAACUUUGCUUGUGGUCAUAACUGGUUCUGCAAAUACUGGUGUCCUGCUCUGCUGGUUUAUUUUUAAUCAUCCUUUACAAUAAUACAUAAAUAACUUACAGUUACAAUAAUACAUAAAUAACUAAUCUGAAUCCCGCAGAUUGCUCAUAUUCCCUGCUUUUAAAAUAUAAAUAGCUAAUCUGAAUCCCACAGAUUGCUCAUAUUCCCUCCUUUUAAAAAUGCCGCUUACAAGAUAUUAACUUGUACUUUUUGGAUAAUAAAUAUUCACUAUAUUGCAUCUGUUAAGUGACAAUAGAAAAACUUCAGAGUUCAGAUGAUCUUGAAGGCCCCUUCCAACCCAACCAUUCUAUGAUUUUAUGAUUUAUUAGCAGCAGAUAAUGUAUAAACUCUGCAUGGAGAGUGGUGCCAGAUGUGAGAGAUAAAAGGAAUUGCUGGUGGCCACCUGCCUGAAUGCUCAUUUCAGCUCUGCUGUGGUGCUUGAUGUCAUGGAGAAUUCAUGGGAUACAGAAUCAUUCAAAGGUAGCAGAGCAUGGCAGGUUAGCAAGGAGGGAUGCUUGUGGAAUGCUGUUGGGUUGGAAAAAUCCAUCUGUUGGGUUGGAAAAGCCUUUUGCCAGGUUUUGAAGAGCAGCUGUGAGUGGAUAUUUGGGUUUUUCUUCUGAUAGGGAAGCACAGAGAGCUCUGAGUGUGAAGGUGUUGGAAAUUCAGGGCAUUGCUGGGACUGCUGCUGGUUUGGCUGUCUUGUUUUUAUCUUAAUAUUUCUGUCUUUAUAUCAGCAUUGUGCUACCACUCAGUUUAGACUUAGAAUCAUAAAAUUACAGAAUUAUUAUGUUUUAUAUAUUAUUCAGAAUGGUUUGAGUUAGAUGGGACCUUAAAACCCAGCCCUGCCAUGGGCAGGAACACCUUCCACUGUCCCAGGCUGCUCCAGCCUAGCCUUGAACGCUUCCAGGGAUGGGACAGAUUUGGUUUUUCAUUUCUAUUCUAGACAAAGUUUGCAAAUUAAUGUUUAGCUUUUUGAGGCAAUAAAAAAUAAGUUUUCUGUUUGUAUUACAUUUAUUUCUAUUCCCCGUAUUUUCCUCACAGAUUUCCAGUUUUUCCUAAUAUCAGUAAUUUUUAUUUACUUUAUUUUUGUCGUUGUCUUUAGUUAUCUGGGCCUUUUUUUUUGUUUGAUUUAAUGUUUGAGAUGGAUAAAGUAUUACUUCUUGUUGCUACAGCUUACUUAAUUAGUACGAAUUAUUAAAACUAGAAAUUGAACAACUUAAGACUUUCCGUUAAAACAAAAAAUUCUUGUUGCAAUAAUCCUGAUAGUGGCUUCCUGAUAGGUAAAAUCAAUAAAUUAGAAGAAAUCCAUCUUACUUCAAUUAGAAACUCAAAUUUUGGCUUUCUUUAUACUAGAAAAAAAAACAUUUUUUUCAGCAAUGGCUUGCAGAAAUAGCAAUUUAUGGGCUUUUUUCUCCUUGUGUUUUAUACAGAAAUAGGAGUAGCCAAAAAGAGGUACAGAAAUGCUUUUUGGGGUGUCUGCAAGAAGAGCUGUAAAACAUUGUACACUCAAUGCUGGUUGACUCACCAUAAACCAGAGACUGAAAGGGACAGAGAAGCCAUUCAGUGUGAAGAGUUUUAGUCCAGUUUUGGGGAGGAGGAUGGAAGGAAAAGGGAAGAAUAUGGGAGAAAAAUGGUAAUUUUCUUAUUUUACACAGUCCAGCUCUGUCAGUAAUGUUGGAUUCCAAAGUGCAGAGAACUCUCAAAACUUUGAGCCUGGAAGCCAAAGCUUAGAAUUAAAGCCAGGAUUUGAUCUGAGACCUUGGAAAAAGCUCCCAAACUUAGGUGCUAGAAGGGAGAAUGUGGAUUUGUAGUUUAAAGGAGAGACAAGUUAAGCUAAGUGAAGGAGUUUAAGAUAUAGAAAAAAUAAAAGUAGUUACAGAGGUAAACAAGGAGUUCAGAAUGCAGCACUGUAGGUUUGUGUGCAUGAUUGGCUAAGAGAGCUCACACUGUAACAUGGGUUUUAAUAAGAUGAAAUAUUUAAGGAUUGGGUCACAAACAUAAAUAUCCUUGUUGGCAGUGUUUUAUUGGUCAAUAACUCCUUUAAAUGUAUUAUUACUGAGGGUCUUGGGGCCUUCUGAACCAUACUGUAACCAUGGGAGCUGAAUUCCUGCCUGUGUAGAAGAUAAGAAAAAGAAACCACAUCAUCAAAA